rnacentral:rRNA from 1 species
UACGUAGGGUGCAAGCGUUGUCCGGAAUUAUUGGGCGUAAAGAGCUCGUAGGCGGUCUGUCGCGUCGGAUGUGAAAACCCAGGGCUCAACCCUGGGCCUGCAUUCGAUACGGGCAGACUAGAGUUCGGUAGGGGAGGCUGGAAUUCCUGGUGUAGCGGUGAAAUGCGCAGAUAUCAGGAGGAACACCGGUGGCGAAGGCGGGACUCUGGGCCGAUACUGACGCUGAGGAGCGAAAGCGUGGGGAGCAAACAGG